AAAUUUGGUUUGGUUACUGGGAAAUUUUCCUAACUUUUUUAUAUAAUAUUUAAAAAAUGUAAAUAGAAAAUUUAAUUUAUUUAAUAAUUAAAAAUUAUUGAGAGUUAGAAAUAAAUUCUAGCUAAAUUUGUGCCAGCAGCAGCGGUUAAACAAAUAGAAAUUUUCCCCUUUUAAUUUAAUUUAAAAAAAAAAUUAUAUAAAAUGUUAUUAAAAUUAAAGGUGAAAUUUAAUUUUAAUUUUUAAUUAGAUAAAAUUGGAAUUUUGAUUUUAAACUAGGAUUAGAUACCCUAUUAUUAUGAAGCUAAACAUUGUAAGUAAAUAUUAAUUAUAAAAGCAAAAAAUUAUGGCGGUAUCUUAAGCUUUUCAGAGGAAUUUGCUCUGUAAUGGAUAAAACACCUAAAUCUUACUUUAAUUAGUAAAAUCAAUUUGUAUACCACUAUUAAAAUAAUAAUAUACAAUUAUUAUUAGAAUAUAAUUUAUAUAAUAAAUUAAGUCAAGGUGCAGUAAAAAUUAAAGAAUGAAGUGAAUUACAUUUCUUUUUAGAAAAAAAAAUGAAAAAUUAUUUUGGAUUUGAAAGUAAAAUUGAAAUAGUAUGUUAAUUUGAAUUUAGCUCUAAGAUAUGUACAUAUCGCCCGUCACUCUUUUUAAGAUAAGUCGUAACAAAGUUAAAAUACUGGAAAGUGUUUU
rnacentral:ncRNA from 1 species